GAUGAACGCUGGCGGCGUGCCUAAUACAUGCAAGUCGAGCGAAGCGGGGACGGGUGAGUAACACGUGGAUAACCUCCUAUAAGACUGGGAUAGCUUCGGGAAACCGGUGCUAAACCCGCCACUUAUAGAUGGAUCCGCGCUGCAUUAGCUAGUUGGGAGGGUAACGGCUUACCAAGGCAACGAUGCAUAGCCGACCUGAGAGGGUGAGCAGCCACACUGGAACGGAGAAACGUUCCAGACUCCUACGUGACGCAGCAGUAGGGAAUCUUGCGCAAUGGGCGAAAGCCUGACGGAGCAACGCCGCGUGAGUCGAGAAGGUCUUCGGAUCGUAAAACUCUGUAAUUAGGGAAGCGGUACCUAAUCAGAAAGCCACGGCUAACGGCGUGCCAGCAGCCGCGGUAAUUC
rnacentral:rRNA from 1 species